rnacentral:rRNA from 1 species
GACGAACGCUGGCGGCGUGCUUAACACAUGCAAGUCGAACGAUGAAGUUCCUUCGGGGAUGGAUUAGUGGCGAACGGGUGAGGAACACGUGAAGAAUCUGCCCUCCACUUUGGGAUAACUCCGGGAAACCGGGGCUAAUACCGAAUAUUGAAACAUAAGUGGCAUCACUGAGUUUUGAAAGAAUUUCGGUGGAGGAUGACUUCGCGGCCUAUCAGCUUGUUGGUGAGGUAAUGGCUCACCAAGGCGACGACGGGUAGCCGGCCUGAGAGGGCGACCGGCCACACUGGGACUGAGACACGGCCCAGACUCCUACGGGAGGCAGCAGUGGGGAAUAUUGGGCAAUGGACGAAAGUCUGACCCAGCGACGCCGCGUGCGGGAUGAAGGCCUUCGGGUUGUAAACCGCUUUC